AUUGAACGCUGGCGGCAGGCCUAACACAUGCAAGUCGAACGGUAACAGGAAGCAGCUUGCUGCUUUGCUGACGAGUGGCGGACGGGUGAGUAAUGUCUGGGAAACUGCCCGAUGGAGGGGGAUAACUACUGGAAACGGUAGCUAAUACCGCAUAACGUCGCAAGACCAAAGAGGGGGACCUUAGGGCCUCUUGCCAUCGGAUGUGCCCAGAUGGGAUUAGCUAGUAGGUGGGGUAACGGCUCACCUAGGCGACGAUCCCUAGCUGGUCUGAGAGGAUGACCAGCCACACUGGAACUGAGACACGGUCCAGACUCCUACGGGAGGCAGCAGUGGGGAAUAUUGCACAAUGGGCGCAAGCCUGAUGCAGCCAUGCCGCGUGUAUGAAGAAGGCCUUCGGGUUGUAAAGUACUUUCAGCGGGGAAGAAGGGAGUAAAGUUAAUACCUUUGCUCAUUGACGUUACCCGCAGAAGAAGCACCGGCUAACUCCGUG
rnacentral:rRNA from 1 species